GACGAACGCUGGCGGCGUGCUUAACACAUGCAAGUCGAACGGAAAGGCCCUGCUUUUGUGUUGUGCUCGAGUUGCGAACGGGUGAGUAACACGUGAGUAACCUGCCCUUUACUUUGGGAUAACUUCUGGAAACUGUGGCUAAUACCGCAUAGCAGCUCCUGCUGCAUGAUGUUUGCUUGAAAGUUUCGGCGGUUGCGGAUGGAGUCGCGGCUUAUUAGCUUUUUGGUGGGGGAGUGGUUUACCAAGGCUUUGACGGGGAGCCGUCCUGAGAGGGUGACCGGCCACAGUGGGACUGAGAAAGGGGCAGGACGGCAACGGGAGGAAGCGGUGGAAAAUAUUGCAAAAAGGGCGGAAGGAUGAUGCAGCAACGUCGGGUGCGAGAUGACGGCUGUAGGGGUGGAAACAGCGUGCGCCUGUGAAGAAGAGUGAGUGACGGUAAUGGGUAAAGAAGCACCGGCUAACUACGUG
rnacentral:rRNA from 1 species